UUUUUAUGGAGAGUUUGAUCCUGGCUCAGGAUGAACGCUGGCGGCGUGCCUAAUACAUGCAAGUCGAGCGAACAGACGAGGAGCUUGCUCCUCUGACGUUAGCGGCGGACGGGUGAGUAACACGUGGAUAACCUACCUAUAAGACUGGGAUAACUUCGGGAAACCGGAGCUAAUACCGGAUAAUAUAUUGAACCGCAUGGUUCAAUAGUGAAAGACGGUUUUGCUGUCACUUAUAGAUGGAUCCGCGCCGCAUUAGCUAGUUGUAAGUAACGGCUUACCAAGGCAACGAUGCGUAG
rnacentral:rRNA from 1 species